rnacentral:rRNA from 1 species
UACAGAGGUCUCGAGCGUUAGGCGGAAUCACUGGGCUUAAAGCGUGUGUAGGCGGAUUGCUAAGUACCUUGUGAAAUCCCUCAGCUCAACUGAGGAAUUGCGCCCGAAACUGCUGUGCUAGAGGAAGACAGGGGUACGCGGAACUUAGGGUGGAGCGGUGAAAUGCGUUGAUAUCCUAAGGAACACCGGUGGCGUAAGCGGCGUACUGGGUCUUAUCUGACGCUGAGGCACGAAAGCUAGGGGAGCGAACGGG